rnacentral:rRNA from 1 species
UUCUGGCUCAGGAUGAACGCUAGCUACAGGCUUAACACAUGCAAGUCGAGCGGAACUUCUUCGGAAGUUUAGCGGCAGACGGGUGAGUAACACGUAUCCAACCUUUCCCUUACUCGGGUAUAGCCUCGGGAAACUGAGAGUAAUCCCCGAUGUGGUGCACGGAGAGCAUUUUUUGCGCACGAAAGAUUUAUCGGUAAGGGGUGGGGAUGCGUUCCAUUAGGUAGUAGGCGGGGUAACGGCCCACCUAGCCGAUGAUGGAUAGGGGUUCUGAGAGGAAGGUCCCCCACAUUGGAACUGCGACACGGUCCAAACUCCUACGGGAGGCAGCAGUGAGGAAUAUUGGUCAAUGGGCGAGGGCCUGAACCAGCCAAGUAGCGUGCAGGAUGACGGCCCUAUGGGUUGUAAACUGCUUUUGUGCGGGAAUAACGGUCUUUACGUGUAGAGAUGUGCAUGUACCGUACGAAUAAGGAUCGGCUAACUCCGUGCCAGCCGCCGC